AGAGUUUGAUCAUGGCUCAGAACGAACGCUGGCGGCAGGCCUCAAACAUGCAAGUCUAGGGGGUGUAGCAAUACAUCACCGGCGGACGGGUGCGUAACGCGUGGGAAUAUACCUAUUGGUUCGGAACAACUGAGGGAAACUUCAGCUAAUACCGGAUAAGCCCUUACGGGGAAAGAUUUCUCGCCAAUAGAUUAGCCCGCGUCCGAUUAGCUAGUUGGUGGGGUAAAAGCCUACCAAGGCAACGAUCGGUAGCUGUUCUGAGAGGAAGAUCAGCCACACUGGGACUGAGACACGGCCCAGACUCCUACGGGAGGCAGCAGUUGGGAAUCUUGGACAAUGGGGGAAACCCUGAUCCAGCCAUGCCGCGUGAGUGAUGAAGGCCUUCGGGUUGUAAAACUCUUUCGACGGGGACGAUAAUGACGGUACCCGUAGAAGAAGCUCCGGCUAACUUCGUGCCAGCAGCCGCGGUAAUACGAAGGGGGCUAGCGUUGUUCGGAAUUACUGGGCGUAAAGCGCGCGCAGGCGGUCUUCCAAGUCAGUGGUGAAAGCCCGGAGCUCAACUCCGGAAUUGCCAUUGAAACUGUGAGACUGGAGUACGAGAGAGGUGAGUGGAAUUCCCAGUGUAGAGGUGAAAUUCGUAGAUAUUGGGAAGAACACCGGUGGCGAAGGCGGCUCACUGGCUCGUAACUGACGCUCAGGCGCGACAGCGUGGGGAUCAAACAGGAUUAGAUACCCUGGUAGUCCACGCCGUAAACGAUGAUUGCUAGCCGUUGGGCAGCUUGCUGUUCAGUGGCGCAGCUAACGCAUUAAGCAAUCCGCCUGGGGAGUACGGCCGCAAGGUUGAAACUCAAAGGAAUUGACGGGGGCCCGCACAAGCGGUGGAGCAUGUGGUUUAAUUCGACGCAACGCGCAGAACCUUACCAGGGUUUGACAUCCUGAGACCGCCUCUUAAUAGGGGUUUUCCCGCAAGGGACUCAGAGACAGGUGCUGCAUGGCUG
rnacentral:rRNA from 1 species